rnacentral:tRNA from 1 species
GGGGACGUAGCUCAGACUGGGAGAGCACUACGCUGAAGACGUAGGGGUCCUGGGUUCAAAUCCCAGCGUCCCCA